AGCAGCCGCGGUAAUUCCAGCUCCAAUAGCGUAUAUUAAAGUUGUUGCAGUUAAAAAGCUCGUAGUUGAAUUUCGGGGUUAGUAGGUUGGUCGUGCCUCCGGUAUGUACUGGUCUUACUGAUUCCUCCUUCUUGAAGAACUGUAAUGCCAUUAAUUUGGUGUUAUGGGGAAUCUGGACUGUUACUUUGAAAAAUUGAGUGUUUAAAGCAGGCUAACGCUUGAAUACAUUAGCAUGGAAUAAUGAAAUAGGACGUUCGAUCCUAUUUUGUUGGUUUCUAGGAUUGACGUAAUGAUUAAUAGGGAUAGUUGGGGGCAUUAGUAUUCAAUUGUCAGAGGUGAAAUUUUUGGAUUUAUUGAAGACUAACUACUGCGAAAGCAUUUGCCAAGGAUGUUUCAUUAAUCAAGAACGAAGGUUAGGGAUCGAAGACGAUCAGAUACCGUCGUAGU
rnacentral:rRNA from 1 species